GCGGAUUUAGCUCAGUUGGGAGAGCGUCAGACUGAAGUAUAAACUUUAGUCUCAGUUAAUCUGAAGGCCCUGUGUUCGAUCCACAGAAUUCGCA
rnacentral:tRNA from 1 species